GGAGUUGUGACUCAGUGGUAGAGCACUUGCCUGGCAUGUAUGAGGCCCUGGGUUCAAUCCUCAGCACUGCA
rnacentral:tRNA from 1 species